GUUGAUCCUGCCAGUUGUCAUAUGCUUGUCUCAAAGAUUAAGCCAUGCAUGUCUGAGUACAGACCGAUCUAAGGUGAAACCGCAAAUGGCUCAUUAAAUCAGUCAUAAUUCCUUGGAUAGUGUUAAACUUCCUUGGAUAACCGUGGAAAAUCCAGAGCUAAUACAUGCAACUAAGCUGCAACCUCGGCAAUAGCCUUGGGAGGAGCGCAAUUAUUAGAUCAAAAACCGACCUCAGUACUCCUUCGGGAUGCUGUGUUUGUCAAUUUUGAUGACUCAGGAUAAUUAAGCCGAGCGCUACGGUCCUAGUACCGGCGCCGAAUCUUUCAAGUGUCUGCCUUAUCAGCUUUCGAUUGUAGGUUAAACGCCUACAAUGGCUGUAACGGGUGACGGGGAAUCAGGGUUCGAUUCCGGAGAGGGAGCCUGAGAAACGGCUACCACAUCUAAGGAAGGCAGCAGGCACGUAAAUUACCCACUCCCAGCUCGGGGAGGUAGUGACGAAAAAUAACGAUGUGAGACUCUUCCGAGGCCUCACAAUCGGAAUGAGUUCAAUCUAAAAACUUGGACGAGGAUCCAAUGGAGGGCAAGUCUGGUGCCAAGAGCCGCGGUAAUUCCAGCUCCAUGAGCAUAUACGAAUGCUGCUGCGGUUAAAAAGCUCGUAGGGGGAUCUCUGAGAUCCAGCUUGCACAUCGGGUCGCUCGGUUGGUGUCCUUGUUUCGUGCUUGACAUGGCCGUUGUGGUCUUUUGCUGUCGGAAUGCGCCUCACGGUUAGCGCCGAUAUGUAUUGAGAUACGCGGUUCGAGUCUUGUGGCGUUUCAUGCGAUUGCCGUCGGGCAUAUCCCGUGUGCGAAAUGGCAAAGUAACAUACAGUCGGCUCGCUCGGAGUGCUCUUUAUCGAGUGUUCUAGGGUGGCCGGCGCGUUCACUUUGAGAAAAUUAGAGUGCUCAAGGCAGGCUCGCUGUAGCCUGAAUCCUGGUGCAUGGAAUGAAGGAAGAGGACCUCGGUCCUGCUUCGUUUGUCGGUUUUAUUGAACCGAGGUAAUGAUUAAAAAGGACAGACGGCGGCAUUAGUAUUGCGGCGCUAGAGGUGAAAUUCUUGGACCGUCGCAAGACUGACUACUGCGAAAGCAUUUGCCGAGGAUGUCUCUAUUAAUCAAGAACGAAAGUUAGAGGAUCGAAGGCGAUCAGAUACCGCCCUAGUUCUAACCCUAAACAAUGCUAACUAGCGAUCCGUCGGAGUCAUUCCCACGACUCGACGGGAAGCCCCCAGGGAAACCAAAGUCUUUGAGUUCCGGGGGAAGUAUGGUUGCAAAUCUGAAACUUAAAGGAAUUGACGGAAGGGCACCACCAGGAGUGGACUGCGGCUUAAUUUGACUCAACACGGGAAACCUCACCAGGCCCGGACAUUAUUAGGAUUGACAGAUUGAGAGCUCUUUCUCGAUUUAAUGGAUGGUGGUGCAUGGCCGUUCUUAGUUGGUGGAGUGAUCUGUCUGGUUGAUUCCGAUAACGAACGAGACUCUCCCCUACUAAAUAGUCGGCGGAUCGUAACCCUUGAUGGGCGAAAAACUGAAGGUCGUGGUGGUUGAUAAAGGUCUUGUAUGCGUCCAGUAUCUCGGUUGCUUCCCUUUCGUGGAGGUCUUCUGGGUGCUGGCCUGCGAGCCUUCUCGCUCCUCACUGGCGGCAUAAGGUUUGAGCUUUACUGGGGGCGUCCGCCGCAAUAUAUCUUCUUAGAGGAAUCAGCGGCGUCUAGUCGCACGAGAAAGAGCAAUAACAGGUCUGUGAUGCCCUUAGAUGUUCUGGGCCGCACGCGCGCUACAAUGUAGGGCUCAGCGUGCCUUCCCUCUCCGAAAGGAGCGGGUAACCCGUUGAAUCCCCCACACGAUUGGGACUGGGGAUUGCAAAUGUUUCCCACAAACGAGGAAUUCCCAGUAAGCGCGAAUCAUAAGUUCGCGCUGAUUACGUCCCUGCCCUUUGUACACACCGCCCGUCGCUACUACCGAUUGAAUGAUUCAGUGAGGGCCUCGGACUGGCGUCUUCGGUGUUGAAAUACACACCUUAGGUCGACGGAAAGACGUCCAAACUCGAUCAUUUAGAGGAAGUAAAAGUCGUAACAAGGUUUCCGUAGUGAACC
rnacentral:rRNA from 1 species